UAGCAGACGGCACCAGCCGGGUUAUCUUUGGAAACACAGGAUAGACCCACCUCCUUAUGUUCCCCAGGUACCAAGCAGACAGCACCAGCCAGCUUGUCCUUGGAAACUGAGAAUAGACCCACCUCCUCAUGUCCUCCAGGCAGCAAGAUUUCAGACAAUCGUCCACCAGCAAAAUGAGUCUGGGCAACUGAUGAUUUCCACACGGCAUCAAAUUCUCCACCUAAAAAGCCUUUCCACAACAUAAAUGAACAACUACUGACAGAGGAGCUACAGAGAAACGCAGUUCAGAACUUCUGGUGUGUCAGUGCAACUCAUUGUCAAAGUGAUGAAAGGUACACAGAAUUCUCUCGAAAUCAUCAGUGCACAUGUAAUGCCCUCACAUUCCUGGCCUACCUUAAUGAGGAACACCAGUUCAACACAGCCCGACUUGAUAAGGUGCUUGAACAGGGAGAUGCACUCUACUGUUGGAUUAAAACAAAUCUUCAGCAGGAGAGGCGUUAUACACAAGAUCAUCUGACCAUGGAGGACCUGCCCAAAGAAGUUCAUGCUGACAUAAAUGUCUACAGUGUGAAAAUGGACAACAUAAGGUAUGGAUACCUGAAAGCAGCAGACAAAACUUACCAAAGAAAAGAGUGGUGGUUGCCUCUUGCUAGUCGCCUUGUAUGUCUGUCAACAGAUGUGAA